GCCAGAGUGGUGUAGUGGUUUGAGCAUUGGGCUACAAAUCUGGAAAUCAGGGUUCAAUUCCCCGCUUGAACA